rnacentral:rRNA from 1 species
UACGGAGGGGGCUAGCGUUGUUCGGAAUUACUGGGCGUAAAGCGCGCGUAGGCGGCUUUGUAAGUUAGAGGUGAAAGCCCGGAGCUCAACUCCGGAAUUGCCUUUAAGACUGCAUCGCUAGAAUCAUGGAGAGGUGAGUGGAAUUCCGAGUGUAGAGGUGAAAUUCGUAGAUAUUCGCAAGAACACCAGUGGCGAAGGCGGCUCACUGGCCCGGUACUGACGCUGAGGUGCGAAAGCGUGGGGAGCAAACAGGG